rnacentral:rRNA from 1 species
GGACGGGGCCCGCACAAGCGGUGGAGCAUGUGGUUUAAUUCGAAGCAACGCGAAGAACCUUACCAGGUCUUGACAUCCCCUGACAACCCGAGAGAUCGGGCGUUCCCCUUCGGGGGACAGGGUGACAGGUGGUGCAUGGUUGUCGUCAGCUCGUGUCGUGAGAUGUUGGGUUAAGUCCCGCAACGAGCGCAACCCUCGACCUUAGUUGCCAGCAUUCAGUUGGGCACUCUAAGGUGACUGCCGGCUAAAAGUCGGAGGAAGGUGGGGAUGACGUCAAAUCAUCAUGCCCCUUAUGACCUGGGCUACACACGUGCUACAAUGGGCGGUACAAAGGGUCGCGAACCCGCGAGGGGGAGCCAAUCCCAAAAAGCCGCUCUCAGUUCGGAUUGCAGGCUGCAACUCGCCUACAUGAAGUCGGAAUCGCUAGUAAUCGCGGAUCAGCACGCCGCGGUGAAUACGUUCCCGGGCCUU